CCUACGGGCGGCAGCAGUGGGGAAUAUUGGACAAUGGGGGCAACCCUGAUCCAGCCAUGCCGCGUGUGUGAAGAAGGCCCUCGGGUUGUAAAGCACUUUCAGUGAGGAAGAACGCCUGGUGGUUAAUACCCAUCAGGAAAGACAUCACUCACAGAAGAAGCACCGGCUAACUCCGUGCCAGCAGCCGCGGUAAUACGGAGGGUGCGAGCGUUAAUCGGAAUUACUGGGCGUAAAGCGCGCGUAGGUGGCUUGAUAAGCCGGUUGUGAAAGCCCCGGGCUCAACCUGGGAACGGCAUCCGGAACUGUCGAGCUAGAGUGCAGGAGAGGAAGGUAGAAUUCCCGGUGUAGCGGUGAAAUGCGUAGAGAUCGGGAGGAAUACCAGUGGCGAAGGCGGCCUUCUGGACUGACACUGACACUGAGGUGCGAAAGCGUGGGUAGCAAACAGGAUUAGAUACCCGUGUAGUC
rnacentral:rRNA from 1 species